AGUGAACGCUGGCGGCGUGCUUAAUACAUGCAAGUCGAACGAUGAAGUCCUAGCUUGCUAGGAUGGAUUAGUGGCGCACGGGUGAGUAAUAUAUAGUUAAUCUGCCUUGCACUGAGGAACAACAGUUGGAAACGAUUGCUAAUACCUCAUACUCCAACUUUACAUAAGUUAAGUUGGGAAAGUCUUUUCGGUGCAAGAUGAGACUAUAUCGUAUCAGCUAGUUGGUAAGGUAAUGGCUUACCAAGGCUAUGACGCGUAACUGGUCUGAGAGGAUGAUCAGUCACAUUGGAACUGAGACACGGUCCAAACAACUACGGGAAGCAGCAGUAAGGAAAAUAGUGCAAUGAGGGAAACCCUGACGCAGCAACGCAGCGUGGAGGAUGACACUUUUCGGAGCGUAAACUCCUUUUGUUAGGGAAGAAUAAUGACGGUACCUAACGAAUAAGAACCGGAUAACUCCGUG
rnacentral:rRNA from 1 species